UACGUAGGGUGCGAGCGUUGUCCGGAAUUAUUGGGCGUAAAGGGCUCGUAGGCGGUUUGUCACGUCGGGAGUGAAAACUCGGGGCUUAACCCCGAGCCUGCUUCCGAUACGGGCUGACUAGAGGUAUGCAGGGGAGAACGGAAUUCCUGGUGUAGCGGUGAAAUGCGCAGAUAUCAGGAGGAACACCGAUGGCGAAGGCAGGUCUCUGGGCAUUAACUGACGCUGAGGAGCGAAAGCAUGGGGAGCGAACAGG
rnacentral:rRNA from 1 species